rnacentral:rRNA from 1 species
GCCUAAAAAUCAUAAAGGCACCAGAUCCCAUCUGAUCUUGGAAGUUAAGCAAGAUCAGCCCUGGUUAAUACUUGGAUGGGAGACCAAUAAUGAAUAAUAGGUGUUGUAGGCU